rnacentral:rRNA from 1 species
AUUGAACGCUGGCGGCAUGCCUUACACAUGCAAGUCGAACGGCAGCACGGGAGCAAUCCUGGUGGCGAGUGGCGAACGGGUGAGUAAUAUAUCGGAACGUGCCCAGUCGUGGGGAUAACGUAGCGAAAGCUACGCUAAUACCGCAUACGAUCUAUGGAUGAAAGCGGGGGAUCGCAAGACCUCGCGCGAUUGGAGCGGCCGAUAUCAGAUUAGGUAGUUGGUGAGGUAAAGGCUCACCAAGCCGACGAUCUGUAGCUGGUCUGAGAGGACGACCAGCCGCACUGGGACUGAGACACGGCCCAGACUCCUACGGGAGGCAGCAGUGGGGAAUUUUGGGACAAUGGGCGCAAGCCUGAUCCAGCAAUGCCGCGUGCAGGAUGAAGGCCUUGGUGUUAAACGUGUACGUUUUGUUACGGAACGAAACGGUGAGCUCUAAUACAGUUGCUAAUGACGGUACCGUAAG